AGGUUAGCAUAGCUCAGUCCCUUCCAAUAUUAUUAUCUGCGAUGAUGACUCGUUUGUUGUAACUGUCUCCAAAACAUUUCUAAUGUAGUGUAGUUAAUGCAGUUUUAGAAAAGGCGAAACAAUCAUAGGUUCCAGAAAUGAGACGUUGGUAUGUGUCUAAGCUUCUGCUUCGUCAAUUUUUAAACAUUUUUAAAAACAGCUUGGGGCAAAAAUGUUUUCUAUUCAUAGAAUUUCUCUUCUUGACAGUCGUGUGAAUUUUCUAAAUAGCUCAGUUGUUUCUUUCUUUUUAAGACUUAAACUCAACGUUCUUUAGUAUUCACACAGCCAACACCUGCUGCCAUUAGCUUUCUAUGUUUGUGCGAAUCACUAGGCAAGUAAAUAAAGCCAACGUACUGUCACAUGUUCAAACAACACAUUCAAAUACAAAGAAGACAACUCAUAAGGGCUGAAAAAAAUGAGUAUAAUACGGGUUGAUGAGUCAGUGGCGCUCACCUCUGACCAGUGACAUCAAUACUGAGAGCCCAGAUUUCAGGCUUGAGGUGAGGAUGAGGAGGAUGACGUUGAUGUUUUAUCCAGACCCCUGUCGCGUUGUCUCUUUCCUUCAUGUUUGCACUUCUCUGGUGAAGCAGACCCCUUCUCAGAUGAUAAAACACAGCUGGAGCCUCCGUGUCUGUUUUCAUUGUGUCGGAGAAUUCCAGUGUUGAGGCUACGAGUGCGCUUUUCCUGGCUCUGCACGCCUUCCUCCUGAAGAAUCGGAGAGGGUACCAAGCGUCAUUCCGCCACCAGUGCACUCCACUCUAAGGGUCUCGGAGCCUGGAGGUUAUCCCAGCUGUCACAGAAACAGGAUGCAGGUUGCCAAUCUGUCGUAGGGCUAGCUAGGAUGCAUGGUUUCAAAGGGACCACAGAACAAAUCAGAGGCCCAUCCCUGCGCACCAAUGGCCUGUCUCUCAUUUCAGAUGGAGAUUGAAGGGCACGUCUGCUCCCGGGGCGCCCACCGCCCUGAGGGCCUCUGCGUCUCCCCUGCGUGAGAGCUGGACCGCUACGCGCACCAAAAAACCCGUCGACCCCCGCAAUCGGCUGUCUGUGUGGACCUGCUGUCGAAUACUCCCCGCUGGACACACACAGACACAGACGCGCAGUCGGACGGGGCGAGCACUGCUUGGUAAACAAUCGCAGCCACACAUGCUCACGCUAGGAAGGAACAUGAAAACAGCACUAAUGGGAAAAAGAUGAGAGGGCUCACAGCGAGCACACCCAGAGAGAAGGAGGAGAGCGAGCCGGCAGUCGGACACCGCUCGCUGUCUCAGCCCUGCAUGCCGGCACACAAAAACAGCCCUCAGAUAGAAAGAUAGUUCCUGAGGUCACACUGUUUAAAAAAAAAGAAGGAAAAGGAAAAAGAUUGGUGGGUUAAAAAGCACUCAGCUGAUUUACAGCAUCUGUGAGCUCCUGUGAUUAUUUUAUCCGAACGUUAUAUUAUUAUAAUUUUGCUGUACUACUUUAUUUCUUUCCAGCUAUUAGAGCUAAAUUACCUACAUUUUUGCUUUUUUGUCAAAUAUAUUUAGAAUGUUUGAUUUACCCAUAAAUUUUUCCAGUUACAAUCUGGCAAACAGUCAUAUUUAUUUGUAAAUGAAAAAAACUAAAUAAAAUGUUAAACAUGUUUAAACACUUGCCAUAAUGGUCGUGCGCUGUUCCUGUAAAGAAAAGAAAAAAAGAAGGACGGCCUUGUGCUGUGAGGGGAAAGAGUGUGUCAUCUUGUUUAUUUUCCUUUGGUUUGCUGUCUUUUUCCAGGCCAUGGGGCGCGAUGAUAACAAAAAAAUAUUGCGGGCGUCCGUGUCCUCACAGCGGACUGCCCUCCCCCACCACCACCACCACCACCAUUACCACCACCCGACGCGAUCCGACGGGGACCGCAGGGCCCUCGCAGCAACAUUUUUGCCCUGAGGGAGAGGAGCAGAGAAGUUACCGCCUCUGCUCCUGAGGCAGAGCCGCCGGCAGCUUAGCGAGACCAAGAGGCAACAGCGAACAAGAGAGAUUAGCCACAGACCCCACAGUGGCCCCAACCAUACCUCCAUACGUCCCUCCCACGAACAGGCCGAUCAAGGACCCCAGCAGAGACUCCCUUCUGACCAGAGAGGACAGCCACCUAAUCCACCCUGUCAGCGUUUCCCACAAGCCCCCGAGGAAAGAUGGAGAAGAGGAGGAAGGUGAAACAUCAGUAGAGGGAAAAAUGCAAUCUACAUCCACAUUCAGGUCACCUAUGCUCCUCUCUGCUUCUUCCCGGACCUCUUCCAA